GACGAACGCUGGCGGCGUGCUUAACACAUGCAAGUCGAACGGUGAAGCGCCUUCCUUUUUGGUGGGUGUGGAUGAGUGGCGAACGGGUGAGUAACACGUGAGUAACCUGCCCCCUUCUUCUGGAUAACCGCAUGAAAGUGUGGCUAAUACGGGAUAUUCUGGGUCUGUCGCAUGAUGGGUGUGGGAAGGAUAUUGUUUCGGUGGGGGAUGGGUCCGCGGCGUAUCAGCUUGUUGGUGGGGUGAUGGCCUACCAAGGCGGUGAGGGGUAGCCGGCCUGAGAGGGUGGGCGGCAACGCAGGGGCUGAACGGCGCACCAGCCUCCUACGGGAGGCAGCAGGGAGGAUUCUGCCACGAGGGGAGGCAUCCUGGUGCAGCGACGCGGCGGUGGGGAUGGAGGCCUUAGGGUUGUAAACUUCUUUCGCCAGUGAAGCAGUCUGUCAGUGUUUGUGCGUGGCUUGACGGUAGCUGGUUAGAAAGCCCCGGCUAACUACGUG
rnacentral:rRNA from 1 species